GCCAGUGUGGUGUAGUGGUUUCAAUAUUGGAGUAUGACUCUAGAGACCAGGGUUCGAAUCCCUGCUCAGCCA